AGCUCGGUAGCUUAGUUGAUAAAUUACUCGUCUAGCAUACAAGAGUUGUGAGUUUGAAUCCCACCUGAGCAA
rnacentral:tRNA from 1 species